rnacentral:rRNA from 1 species
AGGGUCGACGUCCUGUGGAGACUGCCGGUGGUCAAACCGGAAGGAAGGUGGGGAGUGACGUCAAGUCCUCAUGGCCCUUAUGACCAGGGCUACACACGUGCUACAAUGGCCGGUACAAAGAGUUGCGAUACCGCGAGGUGGAGCCAAUCUCAUAAAGCCGGUCUCAGUUCGGAUUGGAGUCUGCAACUCGACUCCAUGAAGUUGGAAUCGCUAGUAAUCGCGGAUCAGCACGCCGCGGUGAAUACGUUCCCGGGCCUU